GACGAACGCUGGCGGCGUGCCUAAUACAUGCAAGUCGAGCGAAGUUUUUCUGGUGCUUGCACUAGAAAAACUUAGCGGCGAACGGGUGAGUAACACGUAAAGAACCUGCCUCAUAGACUGGGACAACUAUUGGAAACGAUAGCUAAUACCGGAUAACAGUAUUUCUCGCAUGAGAGAUAUUUAAAAGUUGGUUAUGCUAACACUAUGAGAUGGCUUUGCGGUGCAUUAGCUAGUUGGUGGGGUAAAGGCCUACCAAGGCGACGAUGCAUAGCCGACCUGAGAGGGUGAUCGGCCACACUGGGACUGAGACACGGCCCAGACUCCUACGGGAGGCAGCAGUAGGGAAUCUUCCGCAAUGGGCGAAAGCCUGACGGAGCAACGCCGCGUGAGUGAAGAAGGAUUUCGGUUCGUAAAGCUCUGUUGUUAGGGAAGAAUGGAUAUGUAGUAACUAUACAUGUAAGAGACGGUACCUAACCAGAAAGCCAC
rnacentral:rRNA from 1 species